rnacentral:rRNA from 1 species
CAAGACUCCUACCGGGGAGGCAGCAGUAGGAAUCUCCGCAAUGGACGAAAGUCUGACGAGCAACGCCGCGUGAGUGAUGAAGGUUUCGGAUCGUAAAACUCUGUUAUCAGGGAAGAACAAGUAUCGGAGUAACUGCCGGUACCUUGACGGUACCUGACCAGAAAGCCACGGCUAACUACGUGCCAGCAGCCGCGGUAAUACGUAGGUGGCAAGCGUUGUCCGGAAUUAUUGGGCGUAAAGCGCGCGCAGGCGGUUUCUUAAGUCUGAUGUGAAAGCCCACGGCUCAACCGUGGAAGGUCAUUGGAAACUGGGAGACUUGAGUGCAGAAGAGAAGAGCGGAAUUCCACGUGUAGCGGUGAAAUGCGUAGAGAUGUGGAGGAACACCAGUGGCGAAGGCGGCUCUUUGGUCUGUAACUGACGCUGAGGCGCGAAAGCGUGGGGAGCGAACAGGAUUAGAUACCCUGGUAGUCCACGCCGUAAACGAUGAGUGCUAAGUGUUAGAGGGUUUCCGCCCUUUAGUGCUGCAGUUAACGCAUUAAGCACUCCGCCUGGGGAGUACGGCCGCAAGGCUGAAACUCAAAGGAAUUGACGGGGGCCCGCACAAGCGGUGGAGCAUGUGGUUUAAUUCGAAGCAACGCGAAGAACCUUACCAGGUCUUGACAUCCUCUGACCACCCUAGAGAUAGGGACUUCCCCUUCGGGGGACAGAGUGACAGGUGGUGCAUGGUUGUCGUCAGCUCGUGUCGUGAGAUGUUGGGUUAAGUCCCGCAACGAGCGCAACCCUUAACCUUAGUUGCCAGCAUUCAGUUGGGCACUCUAAGGUGACUGCCGGUGACAAACCGGAGGAAGGUGGGGAUGACGUCAAAUCAUCAUGCCCCUUAUGACCUGGGCUACACACGUGCUACAAUGGAUGGUACAAAGGGUUGCAAGACCGCGAGGUUUAGCUAAUCCCAUAAAACCAUUCUCAGUUCGGAUUGCAGGCUGCAACUCGCCUGCAUGAAGCCGGAAUCGCUAGUAAUCGUGGAUCAGCAUGCCACGGUGAAUACGUUCCCGGGCCUUGUACACACCGCCCGUCACACCACGAGAGUUUGUAACACCCGAAGUCGGUGGGGUAACCCUUACGGGAGCCAGCCGCCGAAGUGGACCCAGAU